UCUCGCUGUCUUUGGCAAUGGUAGAACUCACACUGGUGAGGUAUCAGGAUCCGGUGGUUCUAGACUUGCCAACUACCGCCCGAGG
rnacentral:pre_miRNA from 17 species